rnacentral:rRNA from 1 species
ACGAACGCUGGCGGCGUGCCUAACACAUGCAAGUCGAACGGAGUAUAUUUUCUAGCCUGCUAGCAGAUAUACUUAGUGGCGCACGGGUGAGUAACACGUGGGCAAUCUACCCGGAAGACUGGGAUAACAGUGCGAAAGUGCUGCUAAUACCGGAUAUUUUCACGAAGUCGCAUGACUUUGUGCAGAAAGUUUUUCGCUUCCGGAUGAGCCCGCGUCCCAUUAGCUAGUUGGUGAGGUAACGGCUCACAAAGGCGACGAUGGGUAGCUG